rnacentral:rRNA from 1 species
UACAGAGGGUGCGAGCGUUACUCGGAAUUACUGGGCGUAAAGCGUGCGUAGGUGGUGAGUUAAGUCUGUCGUGAAAGCCCCGGGCUCAACCUGGGAAUGGCGAUGGAUACUGGCUCGCUAGAGUGCGGUAGAGGAGAGUGGAAUUCCCGGUGUAGCAGUGAAAUGCGUAGAGAUCGGGAGGAACAUCAGUUGCGAAGGCGGCUCUCUGGACCAGCACUGACACUGAGGCACGAAAGCGUGGGGAGCAAACAGG